rnacentral:rRNA from 1 species
ACGACGCUGGCGGCGUGCUUAACACAUGCAAGUCGAACGGAAAGGCCCUGCUUUUGUGGGGUGCUCGAGUGGCGAACGGGUGAGUAACACGUGAGUAACCUGCCCUUGACUUUGGGAUAACUUCAGGAAACUGGGGCUAAUACCGGAUAGGAGCUCCUGCUGCAUGGUGGGGGUUGGAAAAGUUUCGGCGGUUGGGGAUGGACUCGCGGCUUAUCAGCUUGUUGGUGGGGUAGUGGCUUACCAAGGCUUUGACGGGUAGCCGGCCUGAGAGGGUGACCGGCCACAUUGGGACUGAGAUACGGCCCAGACUCCUACGGGAGGCAGCAGUGGGGAAUAUUGCACAAUGGGCGGAAGCCUGAUGCAGCAACGCCGCGUGCGGGAUGACGGCCUUCGGGUUGUAAACCGCUUUCGCCUGUGACGAAGCGUGAGUGACGGUAAUGGGUAAAGAAGCACCGGCUAACUACGUG